UCGAGAAUCUUCGGCAAUGGGCGCAAGCCUGACCGAGCGACGCCGCGUGUGGGAUGAAGGCCUUCGGGUUGUAAACCACUGUCAGAGGGGAUGAAAUACAGGUGGGUACUCCCAUCUGCUUGACAUAGCCUCAGAGGAAGGACGGGCUAAGUUCGUGCCAGCAGCCGCGGUAAGACGAACCGUCCGAACGUUAUUCGGAAUUACUGGGCUUAAAGGGUGCGUAGGCGGCGCGGAAAGUUGGGUGUGAAAUCCCUCGGCUUAACCGAGGAACUGCGCCCAAAACUACCGUGCUUGAGGGAGAUAGAGGUGAGCGGAACUUAGGGUGGAGCGGUGAAAUGCGUUGAUAUCCUAAGGAACACCGGUGGCGAAAGCGGCUCACUGGAUCUCUUCUGACGCUGAGGCACGAAAGCUAGGGUAGCAAACGG
rnacentral:rRNA from 1 species